rnacentral:rRNA from 1 species
UGGGGAAUAUUGCACAAUGGGCGAAAGCCUGAUGCAGCAACGCCGCGUGAGUGAUGAAGGUCUUCGGAUUGUAAAGCUCUGUCUUUUGGGACGAUAAUGACGGUACCAAAGGAGGAAGCCACGGCUAACUACGUGCCAGCAGCCGCGGUAAUACGUAGGUGGCGAGCGUUGUCCGGAUUUACUGGGCGUAAAGGGUGCGUAGGCGGAUGUUUAAGUGAGAUGUGAAAUACCCGGGCUUAACUUGGGUGCUGCAUUUCAAACUGGAUAUCUAGAGUGCAGGAGAGGAGAACGGAAUUCCUAGUGUAGCGGUGAAAUGCGUAGAGAUUAGGAAGAACACCAGUGGCGAAGGCGAUUCUCUGGACUGUAACUGACGCUGAGGCACGAAAGCGUGGGUAGCAAACAGGAUUAGAUACCCUGGUAGUCCACGCCGUAAACGAUGAGUACUAGGUGUAGGAGGUAUCGACCCCUUCUGUGCCGCAGUAAACACAUUAAGUACUCCGCCUGGGAAGUACGAUCGCAAGAUUAAAACUCUAAAGUGAAUUGAC